GAUGAACGCUGGCGGCGUGCCUAAUACAUGCAAGUCGAGCGAACGGACGAGAAGGUUGCUUCUCUGAUGUUAGCGGCGGACGGGUGAGUAACACGUGGAUAACCUACCUAUAAGACUGGGAUAACUUCGGGAAACCGUAGCUAAUACCGGAUAAUAUUUUGAACCGCAUGGUUCAAAAGUGAAAGACGGUCUUGCUGUCACUUGUAGAUGGAUCCGCGCUGCAUUAGCUAGGUGGUAAGGUAACGGCUUACCAAGGCAACGAUGCAUAGCCGACCUGAGAGGGUGAUCGGCCACACUGGAACUGAGACACGGUCCAGACUCCUACGGGAGGCAGCAGUAGGGAAUCUUCGGCAAUGGGCGAAAGCCUGACGGAGCAACGCCGCGUGAGUGAUGAAGGUCUUCGGAUCGUAAAACUCUGUUAUUAGGGAAGAACAUAUGUGGAAGUAACUGUGCACAUCUUGACGGUACCUAAUCAGAAAGCCACGGCUAACUACGUG
rnacentral:rRNA from 1 species